UUCUGAAGCUCCUUCGUUUCUUUCUCCCUUUCUCCCUUUUCUUUCAUUCACAGAAACUCAGCCAAAAAACCCUAACACUGUAAGCCUACACCACCGCCGCCGCAAGGAGUGGCAUACUGCUGCCGCCCGUCCGUCUAUCUAGCUUCCCUCGUGCUCCAAGUCUUCAACCCCCGUUCGCUGUCACCGAUCGCAGCUGCUUCCUCGAGCUCGGCGUCCGUUGUCUUUGUCUGCUCAGCCGCGCUUCCGCCGCCGUUGGUUGCCGUUAACGUUCGCGUCUUCGUUCAGCCGUCAUCUUCGUUCGCGUUCUUCGCCGUUCAAGUUUGCUCGGCGUUCACCGUUCGCGUUCACUCGCCGUUCACCGUUCGCGUUCACGUUCGUCUGGAAGCCACGUUGCCCUGCUUCAAACUCUGCGACCAACCCGUGUGCUCCACCUAGCCGUCGAACUGCUCUCUUUUGUCGCCGCCGUAUUCUUGAUAGAGGUAUUCAGCUUAAUGGUCUUGGCAUGAAGAGCUUCAUGACUUAUGAAAGCAAUGUACUUUUUGCCCUUCGCUUCAUGAUUGAUUGCAAUAUAGCUGGUGGUAAUUGGAUUGAAAUUCCUACUGGAAAAUAUAAGAAGACAGCAAGAAGCUUGUCUAACUGUCAGUUAGAGUUUGAUUGCUUCGGUUAGAGUUGACCCUGAUAUUAUAAUUGGAUAUAACAUCUGCAAAUUUGACCUGCCAUAUCUUAUUGAGAGAGCUCAAGCCUUGAAAAUAGCAGAAUUUCCUAUUCUGGGCCGUAUCAGGAACAGUAGGGUCCGAGUAAAGGAUACAACUUUUUCAUCUAGACAGUAUGGAACCAGAGAAAGUAAAGAAGUUGCUGUAGAAGGGAGAGUUCAGUUUGAUCUGCUCCAGGUUAUGCAAAGAGACUAC